UUACUUUGGACAAGUUUGGAUGUUGUCAAUUGCUUGAGCGUUGGAGUGGUAGAGAAUAGCUCUAUAUACUACUUUCAGUAUCUAAAGGUACUAAAAUCCUUCUGAAUGAACAAGCUACAUAUAAGCAGAUAGAUUAUGUAAAUAUAACAUGUUAUUUACGAGAAAAAAAUAAUACUACAAAACACAAGACGGUGUAGAUUUUGUUCCAAAAUCAUGACAAUAGUCCAUGACACUUGUUAUACACAAAAACCCUUAUUUAUUACUCAGUCCAAAAUACCCGUUUAUAAAAGACGUGCCCUUGUAAAUCCCUUUUGCUUUCAGCCACUCAAAGCUUUUUCACAUAACUAAUUAACAUCGAAGGAAAGAAAUGUAUCAGAAAUUUGAAACAGGCAAAGUCAAAUGGUGUUUAUAAAUACAUUGUCAAAACUCUUUCUUCUAGCCUUAGUAGAAAAAUGGUAAUUAUUUUAAAAUACUUUUUUUUUUCAAUUUAGGAAAGCGAAAGUCAGUUUCACUUAUUCCCUUUGCCUUCUCCAGAAGAACCCCGUUUUUGAGCACGCAGUUCACUUUUCUUAAGAGGUCUUGCAUCUUGAAUGUGCACAAUGUGUCUUUUAUGAGCAGCAAGAUUGGUGUCACUAGUCCAAAUUGGCAGAGAGGCACUGUCAGCUGUUUUAAUCGCAACAUUAUCAAUUGCAGACCACCCUUUCGGAAUGAAAUUAGUUAGCAGACACUUCAAUACAGUCGUAAUAUUCUCCAACAAUUGUUCAUUGGUUUGAGUGGCCAAACCACAGAGAAUGGUAUGACUAGUGCCGGCAGAUAACUUAAGAUAAGUAGAAUGAAGACAACGAGCAACUUGAUUACGCAAAGUCUCUUUCUUUUGUAAAACAGAAAUAGGAAAUGGCUUAAUUUUUUUCUGUUCAAAAACUUUCCCCAUCAAUAGGGGGAUGUAUUUUAAUACACGAUCAUCAACCAAAAAAAGGUUGUGAGAGUCUCGUAGCUCACAUUUUUCUCGGAUUGUUUUAUACUUUAAUUUCAAUCUCGGGAUGCUAAGUACUUUUGUAAUGACUUCGUCAAGCCCUUGUUGCUCCACCAGAUCUUGAUAUGUCUGCUGUGAAUCUUUCACAAUCAAACAAGCAUCUGUUACAUGCAUUAUCCUGUGCGGAAGGAAUCUGUAAAAUAGUUAGUACCUUAUAAUUUUAAUGAAGAACACG